CCAGUCUUUUAGGUUGGGUUACCAUCAUAAGUAAUUCGCAGUAGGCAUUAGUCCCAUCUUCUUAGAUGUAUUAUGGACUUCAUUUUAGCUAUUCCUUUCGUCAAAGGAAAUGCUAAACUUUCAUCAGUGUGUACAUGACCCAUUCUUACAGCUCCUUUUGAGAGUAACUCUCUCACUACGCUGUGUUUACUUCUUAUUUGACGUCUCUUAUCGUUAUAAUAACGAUUCUCAAUUUAUGCAAUAGCCGCGGUACUAUCGCAAUGGAUCAACACAUCUGACAUAAAUUAUUCCUUAAAGGAAUUUCAGCUAGCAAGUAUUUUAACCAUCUUGCUUCUUCACUAACAAUCGUUAAUGUUAUCAUUUCAGACACCAUAGUGGACUAAGCCAAUAUGGUC
rnacentral:lncRNA from 1 species